GGAUUGUGGCUCAGUGGUAAAGUGCUUGCCUAGCAUGUGUGAAGCACUGGGUUCAAUUCUCAGCACCA
rnacentral:tRNA from 1 species